UGGGGAAUCUUGCGCAAUGGGCGAAAGCCUGACGCAGCAACGCCGCGUGAGUGAAGAAGGCCUUUGGGUUGUAAAGCUCUUUCGACUGGGAAGAAGGGAUUCGUUGCGAAUAGUUACGGAUUCUGACGGUACCAGGAGAAGAAGCCCCGGCUAACUUCGUGCCAGCAGCCGCGGUAAUACGAAGGGGGCGAGCGUUGUUCGGAAUCAUUGGGCGUAAAGGGCGCGUAGGCGGGUUUGUAAGUCGAUUGUGAAAUCCCUAGGCUUAACCUGGGAAUUGCAGUCGAAACUGCAAGUCUUGAGUUCUCGAGAGGAUGGUGGAAUUCCUGGAGUAGUAGUGAAAUACGUAGAUAUCAGGAGGAACACCGGAGGCGAAGGCGGCCAUCUGGCGAGACACUGACGCUAAGGCGCGAAAGCGUGGGUAGCAAACAGG
rnacentral:rRNA from 1 species